rnacentral:lncRNA from 1 species
UCGCGCAAUGUGCCUUUAAGCCGUGGUCUCCAAAGCUAGAACAUACACGUCAUAGAGCAAUGGAGGCGAUAUGUCGGGUGAGCCGAAUGAAACGAUCGAUAGAUGUCGGGCGAGCCGAUGGACGCCCGGCGAUGUUCAUCUGAUGUGCCGUUGGCAAGACCUACAUAUACCUGACGGUUUCUUAAGGGCCUACGGGACGAGGUGAAUGCGAUUGUUACAGUGGACCCCGAACGGGUCGAGUGCAGGGCCCCUAGGAACGCCUCCCGCACAACACUGUGGGCCUUAUUCAAAAAGAACUCGGCCAGGCCGUACUAACUUCACUGG